rnacentral:rRNA from 1 species
GAUGAACGCUGGCGGCGUGCUUAACACAUGCAAGUCGAACGAGAAGUGGAGACGGAAACCUUCGGGCGGAAGACUUUACUUCGAGUGGCGGACGGGUGAGUAACGCGUGGGUAACCUGCCUCAUACAGGGGGAUAACAGUUGGAAACGACUGUUAAUACCGCAUAAGACCACAGCACCGCAUGGUGCGGGGGUAAAAACUCCGGUGGUAUGAGAUGGACCCGCGUUCGAUUAGCCAGUUGGCGGGGUAACGGCCCACCAAAGCGACGAUCGAUAGCCGAUCUGAGAGGAUGACCGGCCACAUUGGGACUGAGACACGGCCCAGACUCCUACGGGAGGCAGCAGUGGGGAAUAUUGCACAAUGGGGGAAACCCUGAUGCAGCGACGCCGCGUGAGUGAAGAAGUAUUUCGGUAUGUAAAGCUCUAUCAGCAGGGAGGAAAAUGACAGUACCUGAGAAAGAAGCCCCGGCUAACUACGUG